rnacentral:rRNA from 1 species
GACGAACCGUCCUAACGUGGUUCGGAAUCACUGGGCUUAAAGGGCGCGUAGGCGGCCUUGAAAGUCGGGGGUGAAAUCCCACGGCCUAACCGUGGAAGUGCCUCCGAUACUGCAAGGCUCGAGGGAGGUAGGGGCAGCUGGAACUUCCGGUGGAGCGGUGAAAUGCGUUGAUAUCGGAAGGAACGCCGGUGGCGAAAGCGAGCUGCUGGACCUCUGCUGACGCUGAGGCGCGAAAGCCAGGGGAGCAAACGGG